AGAGUUUGAUCCUGGCUCAGACGAACGCUGGCGGCAUGCCUAACACAUGCAAGUCAACGGGAUCCGAGGCUUCGGUUCGGUGAGAGUGGCGGACGGGUGAGUAACGCGUGGGAACCUGCCCAGUGGUGGGGGAUAACUGCGGGAAACUGCAGCUAAUACCGCAUGAGCCCGAGAGGGGAAGGAUUUAUCGCCAUUGGAGGGGCCCGCGUUCGAUUAGGUAGUUGGUGAGGUAACGGCUCACCAAGCCUUCGAUCGAUAGCUGGUCUGAGAGGAUGAUCAGCCACACUGGGACUGAGAUACGGCCCAGACUCCUACGGGAGGCAGCAGUGGGGAAUAUUGGACAAUGGGGGCAACCCUGAUCCAGCAAUGCCGCGUGAGUGAUGAAGGCCUUCGGGUUGUAAAGCUCUUUUGCCAGGGACGAUGAUGACGGUACCUGGAGAAUAAGCCCCGGCUAACUUCGUG
rnacentral:rRNA from 1 species